GAUGAACGCUGGCGGCGUGCCUAAUACAUGCAAGUCGAGCGAACGGACGAGAAGCUUGCUUUUCUGAUGUUAGCGGCGGACGGGUGAGUAACACGUGGAUAACCUACCUAUAAGACUGGGAUAACUUCGGGAAACCGGAGCUAAUACCGGAUAAUAUUUUGAACCGCAUGGUUCAAAAGUGAAAGACGGUCUUGCUGUCACUUAUAGAUGGAUCCGCGCUGCAUUAGCUAGUUGGUAAGGUAACGGCUUACCAAGGCAACGAUGCAUAGCCGACCUGAGAGGGUGAUCGGCCACACUGGAACUGAGACACGGCCCAGACUCCUACGGGAGGCAGCAGUAGGGAAUCUUACGCGAUGGGCGAGAGCCUGACGGAGCAACGCCGCGUGAGUGAUGAAGGUCUUCGGAUCGUAAAACUCUGUUAUUAGGGAAGAACAUAUGUGUAAGUAACUGUGCACAUCUUGACGGUACCUAAUCAGAAAGCCACGGCUAACUCCGUG
rnacentral:rRNA from 1 species